UGAGGUGUGGAUAGGGGAGAAAUUCCAAUCGAACCCGGAGAUAGCUGGUUCUCCUCGAAAUAGCUUUAGGGCUAGCCCCGUAUUAGUUUAGCGGAGGUAGAGCACUGAAUUCCUAAGGGGGCGUCAAAGCUUACCAAGGGAUAUCAAACUCCGAAUGCCGCAUAAAUGAUGUACGGGAGUCAGACUGCACGAGAUAAGUUGGGCAGUCAAAAGGGAAAGAGCCCAGACCUACAGCUAAGGUCCCAAAGUGUGUGUUAAGUGGAAAAGGAUGUGGGAUUUCAGAGACAACUAGGAUGUUGGCUUAGAAGCAGCCAUACAUUUAAAGAGUGCGUAAUAGCUCACUAGUCGAGAAAACCUGCGCCGAAAAUGUAACGGGGCUAAAACACGACACCGAAGCUACGGAUUCCUUACUAAGUAAGGAGUGGUAGAGGAGCAUCCUGCAAGGACGAAGCCAAAGUGAGAGCGAUGGUGGACGAAACAGGAGAGAGAAUGCCGGAAUGAGUAGCGAGAUACAUGUGAGAAACAUGUAGGCCGAAUAUCUAAGGAUUCCUGGGUAAAGCUAAUCUUCCCAGGGUUAGUCGGGGCCUAAGGCGAGGACGAAAGUCGUAGUCGAUGGAUAACAGGUUGAUAUUCCUGUACUACACAUAAUCAGAACUGUGGGGACGCAGGAGGAUAGGGAAACCGGGGAAUGGAAAGACCCGGUCAAGCGUAAAGCUGUGGGAGAUAGGCAAAUCCGUCUCCUGUAAGUGAAACGUGAUGAGGACUGAAAAAAAGUAAGGAAGUUUCCGAAUCCACACUGCCGAGAAAAGCCGCUAUUGCGUUAUGUGUACCCGUACCGUAAACCGACACAGGUAGAUGAGGAGAAAAUCCACAGGCCGACGGGAGAAGUGUUGUUAAGGAACUCGGCAAAAUGACCCCGUAACUUCGGGAUAAGGGGAGCCACCGCGAGGUGGUCACAGAAAAGAGGCACAAGCAACUGUUUAGCAAAAACAUAGGUCUAUGCGAAACCGUAAGGUGAAGUAUAUGGGCUGACGCCUGCCCGGUGCUGGAAGGUUAAAAGGAGAGGUCAGCGCAAGCGAAGCUUUGAAUUCAAGCCCCAGUAAACGGCGGCCGUAACUAUAACGGUCCUAAGGUAGCGAAAUUCCUUGUCAGGUAAGUUCUGACCCGC
rnacentral:rRNA from 1 species